AUACGAGAGGUGCAAGCGUUAUUCGGAAUUAUUGGGCGUAAAGGGUGCGUAGGCGGCAUAUUAAGUCAACUGUUAAAUACUCCGGCUCAACUGGAGACAUGCGGUAGAUACUGAUGUGCUUGAGGAUGAAAGAGAGAAGUGGAAUUCUCGGAAUAGCGGUAAAAUGCGUAGAUCUCGAGAGGAACACCAAUGGCGAAGGCAGCUUCUUGGUUCAUUUCUGACGCUGAUGCACGAAAGCGUGGGGAGC
rnacentral:rRNA from 1 species